rnacentral:rRNA from 1 species
CAGUCGCCGCGGUAAUACGGAGGAUCCAAGCGUUAUCCGGAAUCAUUGGGUUUAAAGGGUCCGUAGGCGGUUUAGUAAGUCAGUGGUGAAAGCCCAUCGCUCAACGGUGGAACGGCCAUUGAUACUGCUGAACUUGAAUUAUUAGGAAGUAACUAGAAUAUGUAGUGUAGCGGUGAAAUGCUUAGAGAUUACAUGGAAUACCAAUUGCGAAGGCAGGUUACUACUAAUUGAUUGACGCUGAUGGACGAAAGCGUGGGGAGCGAACAGGAUUAGAUACCCCAGUAGUCCCUGUCUCUUAUAA